CCCUUAGAUGUUCUGGGCCGCACGCGCGCUACACUGAUGCAUUCAACGAGCCUAUCCUUGACCGACAGGUCCGGGUAAUCUUUGAAUCUGCAUCGUGACGGGGAUAGAUUAUUGCAAUUAUUGAUCUUCAACGAGGAAUGCCUAGUAGGCGCAAGUCAUCAGCUUGCGUCGAUUACGUCCCUGCCCUUUGUACACACCGCCCGUCGCUCCUACCGAUUGGGUGUGCUGGUGAAAUGUUCGGAUCGGCCGUUUGUCGCGGUUUCCGCGGCUCGUGGCUGAGAAGUUCAUUAAACCCUCCCACCUAGAGGAAGGAGAAGUCGUAACA
rnacentral:rRNA from 1 species